rnacentral:rRNA from 1 species
AGUUUGAUCAUGGCUCAGGAUGAACGCUAGCGGGAGGCCUAACACAUGCAAGCCGAGCGGUAGAGAUUCUUCGGAAUCUUGAGAGCGGCGUACGGGUGCGUAACACGUGUGCAACCUGCCUUUAUCUGGGAGAUAGCCUUUCGAAAGGAAGAUUAAUAUCCCAUAAUAUAUUGAUUGGCAUCGAUUGAUAUUGAAAGCUCCGGCGGAUAAAGAUGGGCACGCGCAAGAUUAGAUAGUUGGUGAGGUAACGGCUCACCAAGUCGAUGAUCUUUAGGGGGCCUGAGAGGGUGAUCCCCCACACUGGUACUGAGACACGGACCAGACUCCUACGGGAGGCAGCAGUGAGGAAUAUUGGACAAUGGGUGGAAGCCUGAUCCAGCCAUCCCGCGUGAAGGAAUAAGGGCCUAUGGCUUGUAAACUUCUUUUGUACAGGGAUAAACCUACCCUCGUGAGGGUAGCUGAAGGUACUGUACGAAUAAGCACCGGCUAACUCCGUGCCAGCAGCCGCGGUAAUACGGAGGGUGCAAGCGUUAUCCGGAUUUAUUGGGUUUAAAGGGUCCGUAGGCGGGCUUAUAAGUCAGUGGUGAAAGCCGGCAGCUUAACUGUCGAACUGCCAUUGAUACUGUAAGUCUUGAGUAUAUUUGAGGUAGCUGGAAUAAGUAGUGUAGCGGUGAAAUGCAUAGAUAUUACUUAGAACACCAAUUGCGAAGGCAGGUUACCAAGUUAUAACUGACGCUGAUGGACGAAAGCGUGGGGAGCGAACAGGAUUAGAUACCCCGGUAGU